rnacentral:rRNA from 1 species
GACGAACGCUGGCGGCGUGCUUAACACAUGCAAGUCGAACGGAAAGGCCCUGCUUUUGUGGGGUGCUCGAGUGGCGAACGGGUGAGUAACACGUGAGUAACCUGCCCUUGACUUUGGGAUAACUUCAGGAAACUGGGGCUAAUACCGGAUAGGAGCUCCUGCUGCAUGGUGGGGGUUGGAAAGUUUCGGCGGUUGGGGAUGGACUCGCGGCUUAUCAGCUUGUUGGUGGGGUAGUGACUUACCAAGGCUUUGACGGGUAGCCGGCCUGAGGGGGUGACCGGCCACAUUGGGACUGAGAUACGGCCCAGACUCCUACGGGAGGCAGCAGUGGGGAAUAUUGCACAAUGGGCGGAAGCCUGAUGCAGCAACGCCGCGUGCGGGAUGACGGCCUUCGGGUUGUAAACCGCUUUCGCCUGUGACGAAGCGUGAGUGACGGUAAUGGGUAAAGAAGCACCGGCUAACUACGUG